rnacentral:lncRNA from 1 species
GGAAAGUCCAAACACAAGAAAGAGCUCACCACAUGGAGAACGCUAACGGAUCAUAUGACUGAGUAGAGGAGGGCACUGCUUCCUUCUGGAAGCUUCCAGGGUUCCUAUGCUCCUGGUGUGCUUCCCACGGAAUUCCUUUUGUCCCCUCGUGUCCAAGCAGCAGACCUAAGCCCAGUUCUGCCUCAGCUACCAGCAUCCCUGAGACCUUGCUUGUUUCUUCCCUCGGUGGGUACCUAGUUUGUUUCUUCCCUCAGUUCCUAGCUUCGCACAUUUGUGAAAUGAGAAGGUUAAAGAGGUGGUCUCUACUCCAGACCACGAUGCUAUUAACGUUAAUGUUUAUACAGGAAAAAGUUGCUGAAUCCCCAGAGGUGUCAUUCUUUCAUUGAGUUCAUCAAACAAAAGUGUCUGAGUGCUUAAGGAGAGCCAGGUACUGUUUGAGACAUUGAGUAAAAACAUCCGACCAAAAACAAAACAAAACAAAACAAAACAAAACAAAACAAAACAAAAAAGCAAAAUGAACAAACAAACAAAAAAAAAUCUAAGGCAGGGCAUCCAUUCUGGGUGAGGGAUAAGGAUAAUUGUUUUUUUUUUUUUUUAAUGUAAUCUCAGUACUUCAAGGUAGAGACAUGAAGGUCAGAAGCUCAAGGACAUUGCUGGCUUCAUAGAGAAUUUGAGACCAGUUUGAGGCACAUGAAACCCAGACACAGACAGACAAAGGAAGAUAUAGGGAGGGGUGACGUCAUAGCUCGAUAGGAGAGCCCCACCCCCACCCCACCCCACCUAGCUCCUGUGAAGCCCUGGCAUCAGUCUCAAAAGCU